UAAAUAAGUCCCUGAGUCAGUUCAGCAGCAUGGGAAAGUAGGCUUGACUCUUUGGUUGAACCACAGAGAAACCACCAGAAGAGAGGAAGGCCAGAGACCGGAGCUGGGAAUUUUCCCUCUUGCGGACUCAUUUGCAAAGUGGACAGUGUUAAAGACAAUGCAGGGUGUUUUUUCUCCUGCAGGAUGAAAACCCUUGAGGCAAAACCCUCAAACCUUACCAGCUCAGCAGCAGUUGAAAGGUCCAGACUCUGUAGUUUGCCUGCCAGUUCAUCCAGAAGGCGGGCCUGCUCCUCCUGUUUGUCCCUGAACUGGGACUCUUGCUCCAACAUCAAGUCUUCCACUCUGUCUCGAAUGAGGGCCGACUGCUCCACAGUGCUGUUGGAAUCCGUGGUGGAAGCAUUCACCCUCUCCUCUGCCUCCAGAGACAUCUGGAAAUACUUGGUAAUGCUGUCCAAGGCGCCUAGGGCAUGGAAUGAAAUUAACCACCGUUAAUCCUCCUGGACCCAAUCUCCCCAUCAAGCAGCAGCUGUAUUUCGCGUCUUCCAGCCCUAAAUUGACCGUAUGGUUUUGUUUUAAAAUUCAAGGAAUAAAAUAUUGAAGAAGAAGUAUAACUCCUUUCAUGAUCAGUGAAUAUGCUGGGUCCCGUUAGCGCCUAACUCUGGCUCCGGAGGAUGCCGAACAUCUGGAUUAGAAGAUUCAGUCCAUCAUGUAGCUGUUGUUUCUACACGCAGGGAAAGGCAAAUACCAUCCUCCCCUUCUCCACGGGAGAGAAGAGAGGGGCUCAGGAAUGAGCCAUUCAAGUUCACGAGCCUAGCAAGUAUGGAGUUGCGACUCUGUUAUGGACCCUUGGUCUCCAAACUCAGCAUCCUUGCUCCGCUCCUGCUCGAGAGCACUGUUUGCAGACAAGAGCGCCGACUAUAACAUGCACACAUCUGCACCCCAGUCCCCACAACUGGGGUCCCCACGAUGUGCCUGUGUUCGCUCGCCCAUAUGUCCAGAGGGGCGACUGCAGGACCGUGAAUGGCCCAGCAUCAGUUUUCACUCACCGCACUAACCCUGCCCCCUGAUGGAGGCGCCGCAGUUCGGAUUCAUUAAGUUGAUACAAUACCAUGAGCUGUUCCUCUGGCUCAUCAACUACUUACUCCGCUUCCUCAAAGAGAUUCCCGAUGUUCUUCAGCGGCUCUGCGGCCGGGCUCUGGGCCAGGAUGUCUCUGAUCUCGUUGACUUUCUUCUCCACUGAGUCCACAGUCUCCCGGUAAGGCCCGAUCACACCACUGAUCUUCAAGGCCUUGGCCUUCUCCAGGAACUUCUGGGUCCUGUUGGUCAGCUCAGCGAUGAUCACAUCCCAAAGGGCAAAGCACUGGUGGCAGGGCGUGCAGUCGGGGAAGACCCCCGAGUACCCUCGAGUGCACUUGUCGCAGCGGGGACCCUCCACACCCUCGACGCAGACACACUGGCCGGUGGACUGGUCACACUGCGGCGUCUCGAUGCCCCUGGGGUCGCAGUCACAGGCUAGAAGGGAGACAGCAGUGCUGGCUGAUCACCUAGAUGACAUACCUCAGCGAUUUGGCACUUAAGAAUCCUCAGCCACUGCUGCAAUGGGAAGGUUUGCAUGUGGUCCAGGACAGUUUACCAACAGCCCCCAGACACCGCAGCUGCUUCUUCCAGAACACACAUUCUCUCAACCCUGGCUAACCACUUCUCAACAGUAACAGUGAUAAUAAAUUUUAAGUGAGCACUUUCUGUGCCUGUCAUUGUA